rnacentral:rRNA from 1 species
ACGUAGGUGGCAAGCGUUGUCCGGAUUUACUGGGCGUAAAGAGCGCGCAGGCGGCUGGUCAAGUCCGAUGUGAAAUCUCCCGGCUCAACUGGGAAACUGCAUCGGAAACUGAUCGGCUUGAAGGUGGGAGAGGGUAGUGGAAUUCCCGGUGUAGUGGUGAAAUGCGUAGAUAUCGGGAGGAACACCAGUGGCGAAGGCGGCUAUCUGGACAGAAACUGACGCUGAGGCGCGAAAGCUAGGGGAGCAAACAGGA